GGAGGGUCCAUAGCUCAGUGGUAGAGCGUCUGUUUUGCAUUCAGAAGUUCCCAGGUUCAAUCCCCAGCAUCUCCA